GCACUGCACCGCGUCUCAUCUCAAGUUGGGUAGGUCCCCAGCACCCACCUCACAAACCCUAUCCUCCAAAGACAUGCAGCGCUGCCCUCCUCACUCCUCCUCCAUCUUUCCUUGUCAGCCGCCGCUGCCGCCAUUCUGCAUCGCUCCUCUCUGUCCGACGGCCACGCCACUGGGAGGAAUCCGCCGCACAAGAGGAUAGGGGACGCCUGUUGGCGAGCUUCCAGGCAGGAAGCUGAUGGGGAGCACGCCAUCAACGAGCCUCUGGGGAGGAGCUAUCGGCCGGUCCUGAGUCGUCCACCAAAGGCCUCCAAUUGUGCCGUCGUGAGAGGAGCAGCAUGGGACGAGAUGAGGAUAUGCCGGCGGCGUCGGACUCCCUCUUCCCUGGCUGCAUCUUCCCCGAAUAAAUGUUCUAGGGUUGGAGAAGAGGGGGUUGCGCAACAGCUUUGCUUAGAUGAGUGCUCAGGUUGAUCACCUUCACCAAGAAAAGUGUGAUGCCAGUUAUGCACUUUCUUUUCAUAGAAUGUUGUUGUCUGUAUCUUGCUGAAUGUACAGAGCUAAUGUUCAGUUCAUUGUCUCAGGCAUGGGUUUAUAGAUUCAUAAUUUUCUUAUACACUUGCUCGUCGCACACCAGCUAGGCUGGCCAGGGGAUGAAGGCACGAUGCAGCGGGUGCAGCAGCGGUAGCGGGGAAACCCCUCCUGGCCGAGCCUUAUCCCUAGCCUCUACCUACAGAGGUGAACCCCAGGAAAGCUAAAAGUUUGUGGAGGAGCGCCGACACAGGUUAGCAUCUUCCUAUUUCUCUUCAUCCUUUCCUCAACUUCCAUGGGAACCUAUGAUUUUUUUCUUCCAGUUUUUUAGAGGGUAUUUUGGACUCAAGAUUGAUCUGGUAGUGCACGUGUGGUGUGCCAUAAGCAAGAAUAUCUUAUCUGUGCCAUGACAAUAAGGGCUUGCUGCAGCCAGGUAGUUCUUGGGAGUAUGGUGCUUCGAUUUGGUUCCUUUGGUGGUAUCUUCCCUCCCUUCUCCCUCCUUCUAUUUCUUACUGAUGCUUUGAUACUUUGAUCUGUUGUAUUGGCUAAAAUUAUGUACUUGGUGAGUCCUACAUGCUUAUUGAGAUGAAUCAUUUACAAAGUUAUAGUGUUAUUUUCAGAAUCUGUAAUGACACAGUUACCUUCAAAAUUUGAGAUGAACCAUUUCCAGAGCGUAUAUUGAGAGCCUAGAAGUAGCAGGGGUCGGCGGAGCAGCGGAUGCGGUCGAUGGAGUAGCAGGAGCAAGGAGCUCGAGAUGGUUCAAGUUUUCUUCCACUUCCUCUCUUAUUCGUUGGUAUACAGCUAGGUUGUUAUAUACAAGUUAUUCAUUUUUAUACAACUAAGUUUUUGUAGGAAGAGGGCCUAUCGAGAUUAUAGAACUGGAUAGAGGUGCCUUAUGAUAGUAUAGCUAAAGAACAAUAGGUAUGAGUAGAUGGCACUGCCACCUAUGUGUUUCAUUUUUAUUUGUUGCGAUAUUUCACACACCCCAUAUUGGCACCCCCUCUAUAUUUUCCCAUGCUUAUAGACUUGCAGAAACACAUGCUGCUUGUCUCUAUUUAUCAUGGUAUUCACAUUAUAAAUUAAAAUGUAGUUGGAAAGAAUUAUGGGUCAUUUUGGCAUGAAGCUCGAGAAUGAUAAUACCACCUCAAGCGGGGAUAAAGCAGGAUAACAAAUAGAUGAGAUGUAAUUACUGAAACUAGAAAAAAUUCUCUUCUUCUGAUUAUGCAUAUGUAAAGUCAUGAUUACGUGUGGACCAGAUGUGUGCUAUUUUCCAUUGCAUACCAGAUUGUCGGUUAAAAGAGUUUUUGUCUUCCAGCAAUGAGCUUUCAUUUUCAUUGCAGAGGUUUAUUUGGUUCAUCUCCUUUGGUCAUUUUUUUCAGUUUGUCUCUUCAGAAGUUUGGGUGCCUCUGUUUUGCUACUUUUUAGUUCUCAUCAUUAAAGUUGUAUCUUUCCUCCCCUCUUGGAUUGUUGCAUCCUUAUUGUGUCUCAUCGUUAAGGUGGCACAUAUAAGUAUUAAUUUAUUCAGUUCUGCUAAAGUACCGCUGAAAAUUCAAAUUCUAUGUACUUCACUUUUGGCUAUACACGAGAAUACAGUACACAUAUUUCAGUAGUGAUUGAAUGUGAAGACCAUUGGGCAUGUUUUUGUAAAUGUGGAUUAAUUAAGUUUUAUUGCUUUAUGGUGAGAUGAAUAUGUUGAUUAUAAUGAUAUAAUAUUAAGAGAUUUUCAAGUGUAAGCUUGUAGCAAAUUAUCUUCUAAUCCAGACUCCAUAUCAUUAUUUAUAUUGUAACACAAAUGUGUUCUAUUAUACUCCAAGCCUUGGUACAUGAAGGCAUGAUAUUACCCCUCUCCCCCUGCCCCUUCUAUGUAUUUUCUGAUUUGUUUGUGUGACUGUACUGAAUGGUGCUUGCAGGUCCAUGGACAUUGUCAGAAUUUUCACUUUAUUGCAGUGUCUUAUUUUCAGAUCUCAUGUUCCUCAAGCUAAUGGACAAGAUUGUGUUUUUUGUAGUAUGGUACCAUCACAACAUUUUCUAUUUAGUCAUUCAUUUGUUAUGCACCAUAUUUAAUAAGGAAAUAGAGGGCGUUUGUUUUCUAUUGUUAUAAAUCUGUUUCUGAAUACUAUUUGUAGAUUUAUGUUUGGAAACACCAAUCACGGUAAUAUUUUUGUGUAUGUAGAUAGAUUUGUAUAUUUCAUAUACUAAUACCGAAAUUGAAAUGUUUUAAGAAAUAUGGUUGGAGAUGUCAUGUAAACUGGUAGUUUUCUUAAGAAGAUCAUUGUCAUGUAAUCUAAUAUGUCAUUAGGUUAUUUGUAAUACUCCUGCAAUUUCUAAUAUAGUUAAAAUAAUUUAAUGUGUAGGUGACAAGGCUUUGGAGCCAUGGUUUUCUUAGGUAGCUUUAUUAGGGCAUCAAACUAUUUGGUGCUACAAUUGUUGUAAAUGUCUAACUUUGUAAGAUAUUCAGCAUUGGUUCAUCAUAGUAUGCUUUCUUCUGUGCCUUGUUUCACAGGCUUGCUCUCACUACUGCUGUAGACAUGGAACGUUGAUGACAACAUACAGGUAACUCUUUCAAAAUCAUGGAUAGUAUAAAUAUACAGUUGUAUUAUUAACCUUGAGGUUAUUUCUUAAACUGGCAUAUACUUUCCUUGCCUUGAGGGCACAAUUUAUAAUCAAAUGCAAAUGGCAUACCUUUCUUUACUUGGAACAUGGCAUCCAACAGAGGAACAUGAGUACUUUAUAUGUAUAUUAGUAUAUCGCGAGCUCUAAAAAGGUUUUCGUCUAUUGCUUUCGCACAUCAGGCUUUUUCCUAAUUGUUUCCAGUACAAAAAGAGCUUGCUGCCAUGUAUAGGAUAAUAGAAUACACGUUCUUGAAAUGAAGCAACUUAUUAAACUAAACCAUGGUGAUGUACUCCUUGCCGCUGAUUUAUUGAGAUCCAGCUGAAAAUAAGGGGAAUGCAAACAUCAUCCUGCCACUUAAGUUAUCUCAUAUUUAUGGAGAAAAGUUACACAGUUAGCUAUUACAAAAUACUAAAAUUCAUGUAUGUAUCCGGCUUCAUUAUGGAGUUGAGAACGAAAUCAUUGGAAUUCUUAUGUUGAGAAAAGGCCAAUGGAAUAUUAUUAUUAUGUGUUACAAAGUUCAUACAAAGAAUAUAUAUUGUAGUGCUCUAAAUAUAAAUUAAAAUAUUGUAGUCCUUGGUUAAUGCAUUGUUUUUUCUUUUUGAUCCAGAAUGAUAUUUGAAGAUAAGGAAUUAGUAUGAGAUGCUUUAGGGCGUUUAAACAAUUGGAUAAGAUUAAACACAUGUGGUGCCGAAUUGGCAAUCCUUCAUCCUUAUUUUCUUGAUAAUUGUCGGAGUCCUGGACUUGGGGGUAUCCAGUCCUGCCUACCUGCAGCCCACCACGUGGCUCCAUCGACGGCCUGGUACGGCCCAGCUUCGACAACAACACAGCAAGACGACGCCAAGACCCCCGAAGGAGUUUGGAGAGAUCUAUGCAGCUACCUCAUGAGGCUCAGAUGACAUGAGCCAUGACUACCAAGGCCAAGUGGGCGCCAGGCGGGCGCAGAGUGCAGGUUUCCUCUUUGUUUCAAGGGAGGCAAGCCAUAGAAGCGGAGUCCCGAGGAAUCAGCCAAAGGUUUCCAUUCUGGUGCAACGAGACCAAGACCGCCAGGAUGGCGGGACGGAGGUCAUCACCGAGCCCACUGCAGCGUCACGACCAGAGGCUUUUCACAGGCAAAGAAUAAUUUUGUCAGGAUAGACUGUACUACUUGUCCCCUUUCAAAUCCCGCCGUUGUGGGAUCCCUUCCCGCUCAUAUUUGGGAGGAGGACCAAGGCACUAUAUGUAGGGCUUAGCCACCACCAUGGAGGGGGAUUGAUUCCUCCCCGAGCAGCACACCAGCUCAAGAACACCGCACCUCCUAAGGCUUGUUCAUCCU